AUGACUGUGGCUGAAAUAAGCAUGUCUUGAGCAAUCAAGAUAGCUGUGGCCUGUGUGUACUAAAUUAGAGCCCACCCUUUCCUCCCUUGCAGCCUGUCCAAUUCAUCGGUAACGUUGGAUGUUCUGCACCUUGGACGGUCAUUCUGAUGAGUGACAACCAGGGCAGUUUUCUUACAUUUUGAUGGGUAGAUUAUGCAGCAAGAGAUGUGAGUGUUGGGUUUGAAGAUGAAAUGCAAAACUGAGCCNNNNNNNNNNUUUGCUUAUGAUCCUUGUAUCCCCUCUCUCUCUCCCUAAAACAAAUCAGUCAAGUUCUCAUUGCCGGCUUGCUGGCCCAUCGUCUCUGUGGCUGCCAUGUCAGUUCCCUGUCUUUACGGUGCUGCCAGCCGCAACCAGUCCAUUGCCUUGGAUUCGUUGUGGUGUGGCUGGGAACCGUAAGGCGUCGUCUGAUGCGUCGUCCACACUGGGAGGUUUGGUCGGUUGAGGCCAGGUAUGAGCAACUCCUGAGACUGUCUAAGUUACUCACCACUAUGGCCAGCCUGAUGGAUGGAUGGAUGGAUGGAUGGAUGGAUGGACGGACGCAUGCAUGCAUGUAUGUAGGGAUAGUAUGGUCAUGUUGCUUGGGGUUUGACCUCCUUUUCAAAAAAAAAAAAGGGGCGAUGAUGAUGCCUGUGGCUGGAAUAAUUAUGUGUUGAGCAAUCAAGACAGCUGUGGCGUGUGGGUACUAAAUAGGCCCCGAAUGGGGCCGGAGUUGGAGAUGCCCUUAAGAGCUCACCCUUACGUUUCUUGCAGCCUGUUCAAUUCAUGGCUAAUGUUGGAUGUUCUGCGCCUCGGAUGGUCAUUCUGAUGAUUGAUAACCAGGGCAGGUCUCUUACAUCGCGAUGUGUAGGUUAUGCAGCAAGAGACGUGAGUAUUGGGCUUGAAGAUGAAAGGCAAAACUGAGCCCUCUUUUGCUACGCUACAAAUACUUAGUUUUUCCUUCUCUACUAUACAUUGUUUUUUAUUUUCUGUUCCUCUCUAUUGUGUUGAUGUGAGAUCUCGAUCUGGAUUGCUAUCUUCUCUUGGUGACGAACCCAACCACCCUGGGUUACUUGGUUUGGUUCCUAGUUGGCGUUGUUUUUGCCUUUAAAGUUGUACAUAUACAUACUAUGUGUCAAACGAUUCUCCUUUUUUCCUCCAAUGCUUGUAGCUAUUGGCAGUUCUAUUCAUGUGGUUAACGAGAAGCUGUUCUCUUGCUUGUCUUGUCCUGCCAGAUGCUUCUUCAAAGACCAAGUUCUGAUCCGUUAUGUCUGUGUUUUUAUAAACUGAAGCUCAAAUUACCUUCGUAUUUGGUUUGGUCAGAGCAGACCUUUUGUUAUGAUUCUCUAUGCUAUUUAGUUCAUUGGUGAUUAGUCUAUUUUCAGCUGCUGCUGUCAAUAUUAACUGUCACAUUUUCGAUGCAUGCGUGUUACAGAUCCCUUGAACGGAUUCGAAAUGAGUGUCAAGUAAAGUUAUCAAAUGCAAAAGUGUAUUUGUUAAAAAGGCUCUUAUAUUUAACUGAAUGUCCUCCUGGAGCUUCCGCUUAGGUCAUUCAUGAUUUAUAUGUUGGGGGCUCGCCCCCUUCUCAUUAUAUAUUUUAAAAUUAAUUUAUUCAGUAUUCUUGCUUUGGUUUUGUUUUCAUUUUGCCAGAGGUUAGACUGACCGGUGUUCAGUUUCAUGGUGGAAUUGCCCACUAUCCAAUGUCACAUGCCUGACUAUUUAGCAUUAGAACCCCAUUUUUCAUGGGAUAAACGGGUGAGCUGCAUUUCCUGCUUUCUGUUUGUAUUAUAUGCAUCCCUUUUUGCAAGCUUAUGCUUUUCUUCUGUUUCAAAACGGAAAGUUUAUGUCAUCCUGUUUUUAUUUGGCUUGUAGUGACUCAACCAAGCCUUUAGUCUCAACACAUGGAUUGCUAGCUUCUACGCACCUCUGUCCAUGGCUAGUUCUUUGGUGAUAUUCCAUGUCCUCCUUUACUAUCCCACCCCUGUCCAUGGCUAGUUCUUUGGUCAUAUUACAUGUCCUCCUGUAUUAUCACUAUUAAAUUUUUACUGGUUCUUUUGGUAGUGAUGUACAUUCAAGUCGGCAAAUUGUGAACUUCUUUUCUACUGUUUUGGUCCAGCACAGCAACUGCUAACUGGCCUCAAGGAAUACAAUUUGCAUGGUUUGCUUUCUGCUGAUGACCAUUUUAAUGUGUAUAGAAGCCAAUACGUUGAAAAACACAAUGUUGUCAUAAGCCUGUAUCUACCUCCUGUUGCAAAAAUACCAUGGCUACCUUUUAUAAAUUGGCCAACUCUGAGCCUCCCGCCUAAUAAAGUUCUGAGUAAAAUUGAGUGUUUCCUUCCCAAAAUUUGAACUGAUCUUUUCCUUUUUGGUAAUUUGUUGUUCUUGCUUGCUUGCAUCCAUGUAUACAUAAAAGAUAUGUUGAGAGUUCGGUUAUGAUAUUAGUUCUUUCGGUAAAAUCAUGGGCUGGUGGAUGCAAAAGUAGUUUUGCAAGUUUAUAUUUUCGCCUUUUUUCCUACACAUUUUGUUGGUUUUGCAGUAUGUCAACCGGUUCUGUUGUUUUAGGAACAGUACUCCAGGCUCACUUAAUUCUUGUCUCUCUCUUUUUUUUUUUUCCUUUUUUGUUCUUCCUUUUUCUUGAAUGGCUAUGAUAAUUCUGCUGUGCCUUGGAUGGUAAUCUUAUUUGGUGCUGGGUCAGUUUGCUUGUUUCAAUUGCUAUUUGACUUGAUAAUUUUGUUCUUCUAUUGUACUCUUUAUUAUCUACUUAUCAGUUUGUAGUUUUGGUUUCUCUUUAGGCCGCGCUUGGGAUGGUUGUAUUUCAAUACGGGGGUAUUUAGUUUACACUUGUAUUUUACUGGCUGCUGAGGCCGUGUUUGAGUUGUCGUUUUCUUUCCAAAUACGUCUGUAAACAAUACAGAUCUCCAUCCGUCGUUUCGCUUCCAGCCGGGAAUCUCUAUUAGCUCGGUAAAUCACACCUGUAAAUUAAAUACAUUUGUAUCUAAAUACACCCAUUCCAAGCGGGGCCUGAACAAUUUCUGGCUGAAAACAAAACGAUGGCCCGAGGUCCGUAUUUUUUACACGUGUAUUUGAAACGGAAACCUGUACUUCUUUACUGGUUUCAACUUAAGGGUCGCAUAUAGCAAGUUCAGCUGUCAAAAUUACUGUCUUCUUUGUGUCACAUUCCUGAAUGGCUGUGAUGAUAUAACCUCCCUAUGAGAGCUAUCUAACACCUGAAUUGAUUUACUUGGUGCUAAACUAGGAUGGCUUGUGUCAAGCAAGUAACCAGUUUAGCGGCUAACUCCCUCAGUUCAUUGGAUUUUUCAGUAUGGACUACGCACGGACUGAAAGGAGUGACUAAACACACUAAAAAUAUACACCCGAUUAAGAAAAAAGUUAGAACAUCUUAUAUUUCUGAAUGGAAGGAGUACUGUUAAACGUUGGAAUUAAGAAUCCACUUAACAGUGUGUAGAGACGGACAAUGGAGAUUACAUGAUCCUUCUACUUAUGGUGGCAAGAUGGCGUUAUAUUUGAGCCAUUUACUUAUACAUGUCCCAGUUUUAUGUGUCCACCAGUUCAUGGUUUGCUCCUGGUAUUGUUUCUUUCUGCAAUCACUGAUUCUCCUAUGAUUUCUUGUCAUCUUGUGCUCUUUGACUAUUGGCUUCUUUGUAAUUCUCUUUGUGGUAUUUGCGCCAAAGUGCUGUUGAUGGCGAUAAUGAGUAAUGUUCAUUCAGAGGUGUAUUUAGAUCAGAUAUCAUCACUUGUUUAUAUGGUAUGUUUUAGGGUUAGGGUUUUGUGUGACUAGGUGGAAGUGUGCAAAUCGGGACGGCUUGCUUUCUCAUUUGAAUGCUGAAAUGUCACACAGGGAUGUAAGGGCAUCUGCAAUGCGGAUCAAUGCGGAUCACCAGGGGUGUAAGGGCAUCUGCAAAGCGGAUCACCAAGUGUAUCGGAUACAGAGUGGGUUCUGCCCAUAUGAGAGCCUCCUUUUUUUUUAAAUAAAUACGACCUCUACUUUUGAAUAUUAUUGGUUUUGAUUCUUCUCAAUCUAUUAAUGAUUUAUAGCAGUAUUGGGAUCUCAUUGUAAUAUACUCCCUUCGUAAAGAAAUAUAAGAGCGUUUAGAUCACUAAGUAAUCUACGACACUUACAAGAUAUGCUCAUUGCAAACUGGAUUUUGUUCUAUUUUACACUUGCAUACUCAGAAUGCGUUGAAUUACUCAUGCAUCAAGAGGUUGUACUUUAUUUGAAUAAAAAGCAAUCCUAUGUGCUGAGGGCCCUGGGAAGCGGCAGAGGGCGUAUUUUGCUUUGCGAGAACUACAGGUGUUCCUGGGUUUGCGCAUGUUCAUAUUCUCGACUAUUUUCUCACCAUAUACAUGUUCAGUGUUGCUGUACGUACACAUAGAUAAUGCCCGUUGCUAUACAUACACAUCUAUAAUGCCAACAUACGCAUAUAUAAUGCCCAGUACAUAACUAUCUGUACGUGAGAUUUUCAUUAUUCAUUACUUGGAGGCAUGGUGUUGAUAAUCUAAAUAUUGAGCUUCCUCAUACAGUAUGUCUCAUCAUACAGUUUCAUCUGGGUUCUGAAGUUGCGCCUCAUACGUACCGGGCAGUUGGAAUACACAGCACCGCCUGCAAAGGUUCCAACUCCUCUUGUGAAGCUAACCAUUUGGCCCUUCCGAAAAGAAAUCUGACUCUGUCCGAAAUCCUGACCAUGUGGUAUAUGGAGAUGAUUUCUGACACCCGAAGAAGAAUUGAAUAUCCUAAUCCAAGAGAAAAAUUGCCUCUGUUCUCAACAAGUGCAGGUGCCAAAGGAUCAUAUUUCAAUCGCUCCACGCAUCCUAAGUUCUUUCAGAAUAGUCCAUACGAUAGCCCUUGCACCUCGCCCUCUCCUUAGUUCUGAACUCAAGAACAAGCAAUAUGUUACUCUCGAGUACUAUAUGAAAGCCGAAAGAUAUUAUCUCAUGAAUUUCCAAAUAUCACCGCUACGCGAGAGAUUGGCUGUUACGCAAAAUUGCUUCAAGAGCUGGAUGAUUUUUGCCCCACCAAAGUGUUUGCAUUUGAGCAUCCCUUGAACCGCGAAACUGCAGAGAUUGGCUGUUACGCAAAAUUGCUUCAAGAGCUGGAUGAUUUCUGCCCCACCAAAGUGUUUGCAUUUGAGCAUCCCUUGAACCGCGAAACUGCUCUCCAGUUUUAUGCCACUCUGUACAUUUUUCAAGAAGAGGAUGACAACUCCAAGUGGAUCAUGGAAUGGAUGACCUAAGAAAAACGCAUCAAGUGCACAUCAACUGACUUCGUGUCACACUUUCAUUUUCCUCGUUUUGAGCAUGUCAAACAAAAUAUUCGGGUCCAUAAAUUGAUGUCAUCACUGAUGAAGAGUUUCGAUGCACCAGAGUUGCAGAAAAGAUUCAGGACUACUAUGGUUCUUCUUGUCCCGAACACCUAUUUUUUUAUCAUGCCAUGAAGACUGUCUAUGUUGCCAAGGCCACUCACAAGUGUUUCGUUCCUCCUGUGCGCGAUACACUACAAGUUAUGGAAGAUUUUACCUCGGGAAAAUCUCCUGCCCCAAUCCAAGAUGACAAUCCAAGAUUGUCAUCGCCAAUUUGUUGGCCCUCGUCUACCUCAACUCGGAAGGAUUGCUUCCCCUCUGCCGCCUUCUCAACUUGAAGUUAGCUUGCACACUCAGCAAGUUCUCGUGAAACAUAUUGAGGAAGAUUACUCCGAGAAAGAACACUUAGUCACACAGCUCAAUUUCAUCAACAACCUCACUCGUGUGAUGCACUUAAUCGCUCAUGAGAAUAAGAAGAGGCUUUGUAAAUUUCUUUGCAAAUUCUUCAUCAAAAAGCAACUCAUGAAUGCGAACCUUCAAGAGCUUUGUGAUUAUAUUGACAAGGGUUUCUCUAUCAAAGAUUUCCAAGAUCAAAGUGUUCCAUCUCUACCUGCUCGUGAACCUACAACUCAUCUUCUUCAUCCUAAGAUUUACAAGCCGCUCGAAGAAUAAAAGGCCAUGUCUCCUACUGUGAAACCAUCUGAAGGCCAAGCUCUCACUCGUAUUCCGCCUGAAGUUGAUCCACUUGUGCCUAGCUCCUCUACUCAGCACGCAGAAAAUCCUCGAGAAGAACCCACUUCCGUCGACACCCAAGAAGCUCCUACAAUGCGAGUCACAUCUGUAGAUGAAGGAUCUUCAGCCAGCUCUUCUAUAAAUUCCUCAGAGUAGUCUUCAUUGAGCGCUUCAUGCCUCAUGUUAUUCGUCACCUUUUUGACACUCGUUGACAAAAGAGGAGAAUUACAUCAAGUUUCUGAUAGAUUUAUCUUUUGGCGUUCAUCUAGAUUUGUUUUCCCUUGAGUUUGCAACUGUCCUUCAAUGUUUGUAUACUGUGUUGCUCUCUUUGGACAUUGUCAAUCAAAAAUGGACAUCCAAAUGAGUACCCAUCUCGUCUUGAACAGUCCAUGGUUUUAGAACAUUUGCCCCAUUGAAUCAUUGAGACCAGCCAUGCGAUGUCUUUCACCGACCACAUUAUAGCUCCUACGCGAAGUGGUUCUACUCAAAGUAGAAUGGACGCACUACACCACGACACUGCAUUUCCAACAAACAGGUUGGUCGAAAAAACAGCCUUUGCCAACACACAGUCGGUCGAGAAAGAGUAUUGUCGACCGAAACCGUCUGUUGGGGUAAGUCCAGACGAGAAAGCCUUUUCCCGACUGAUUGUUUGACGCCUGUAAAUAGCAUUGCUGACCGACUUUCCGAUGGCACAGGAAGGGCUCUUUCCCGACCAACUUGCGGUUGGGGUUUCCGUCGAAUCUUUCCCGACCAACUGUUUGACGACAAAACCUUUCCCAACCGAUUUUCAGCUGAUGUUGGUGUUGAAGCUUUCCCGACCGACCAUUUGACAAUACAGCCUUUGUCGAUCGAUUUUCUGCUAACGUUGGUGUCAAAGCUUUUCCCGACCGACCAUUUGAUAGCACAUAUUUUGCCGACCAACAAUUUGACAGCAUUUUCCUUAGCUGAGCAAUGUUUAAUACCCAUGUACCCUUGUUUUUACAUCUGCCUUACAAUACAAUGUCAAAUCAAGUUGCAUAUCUCAUUACAAGUCAAGUUACAAUAGCUUGCGUAUCUCAUUACUACUCGCGAGUAAAGGAAACAUUUAUGGUUCAAAGAUUGAAUCACCCAACAGGUUUACAGAAUGAUAGAUGCAUGUCCGAUAUUCAUUGUUUGCUCCAUUACACAAAAACCCAGGUGCACAAAAUGAGACCUAAAAGACGCAUUAUUUUUGCUCCAUUACAGAAAAUCUCUAGCGGAUGCAAACUAACAUCUUCCUGGGUCCUUCCUGCUCCUUUUGUAUGUCUUUUCUACAAAGGAUAAAAAUGUCAUGGUGAGCAUGCAUUCAGAGAUGAUGGCAAAAAUAAUAAUUGUAUAAAUCAUAGAUGCAACGUGACCAUGAAGUAUAUUUCAGGAAAUGUGAGCAAUACAGAGGUGUACUCGGAGCAACACAAGGCAACAUAAUUAAGUUGUAUUUCCAUCAUCUGGACAUAAGGCAAAAAUUUAGCAUGUCCAGACUCCCAGCUUUAAUUCAGAAGACAUGGUACUAUUUACUGUGGAGAGCACUACUCGCUACUCCCUCCGUUCCUAAAUAUAAGUCUUUUAAGAGCUUUUACUAGAUGACUACAUACGAAGCAAAAUGAAUGAAUCUACACUCUAAAGUAUGUCUAUAUACAUCCAUAUGUAGUCCUCUAGUAGAAUCCCUAGAAAGACUUAUAUUUAGGAACGGAGGGAGUAGUUUGGUUGGUGCUCGAGAGCAACUACAAAAUUGUGCCAGCCAGCUAUGAACUAUACAUUAACUUAGCCAAACUUUAGAUGAAGAGAAUAACCAAGAAAAUAUAUACCAUCACCAUUUAAGAAGUGGCAAUGAACUAGGUAGACAUUGAAAAUAAGAGAAGAUAGAACAACAUUGAUUGUUAAUGCUCAAUGUACAGAGCUAGAUAGCAACUAUCAUGAGGAAGAAGAUACAAGGGUCUGGUUAUGUUCAUUACGGUCCCUGGUUUUGUAGCUGAAAAAAUAAAUACUAGCUCAUGAAUCAAAUAUACCUUAGCGGCGGGACGAGGAAGAUGCCCCUAGUUUGUAGGGUUUCAUCUAGCAAAGUGAUCAUGAGUCAGUAUCACAUCAAACAAUUCGAGAUAAGUGGACAAAACACACAUUGUUAGUGAUUACCUUGCUAGAUGGCCAUGCAAUGGACCUUGUGACAGCAUCAUCGAUAAUUUGUAAACCGUCAUCUUCAAAAGGCAAAGUAGCAUCCCUUCUUAGGAACCUUGUGGACACGUUUCCCAUCUGCACUCUUCCUUUCAGAUUUGCAUCGUGAAGCCUUACAUUCUGGCAUGAAUUGGCAUUGACAUUGUUCUUCCAAAAUAGAAUGCAAUCAUUUUCAUGCAUGAAUAUUAACAUACCCAAGUCCUAGGCAUUUGACUAGUUUUUUGGCUUUAUUGGAGUUUUUGGGUAUUGCGGACUGAGGGUAAGCAUCUUUGAGUAGAUCUAACAACAGAUCAAAACUUAUGUCAGACCACCCUCCAAGCAGUUUGAUGUGAAGAAGUCUCACUAGGAAACGAAGCUUUGAGAAAUUCCUACAGCCUGGAUAUAGCUCUUCUCUAGAAUCAGCUUCAAGUUUGCGGAGAGAUUGUAGAAAAGAAUCAUCUUGAUCUAAACCACAAUCAUCUUCAAGAUCUCCCCCUUUAUCCAAACCAGCAAGGUCUCUUAGCAAAUCAGAUAUAUCAUCGCCCUCAUCCCUAUCGUCACCCUCAUCUAGAUUUGGAGGAAUGGGAGGAGAGACACGUUCCCUUGCAUACGAGGUGCUCACGGACUUCAAAUUCUUCUCUCCAGUACGAGUUCACACAGUUUUCGCAAGGACAUAAGAUUUUAUUCUCGACCGAUGAUUUACUAAAUGCAUAGCCUAGGAAUUUGGCAUGCUCUUGUAAGUACUUCUGUGUAUGCCUACAUGCAAGUGUACAUGUGCACUGCAUUAUAUAUAUAGUUUCAGCAUCUAAGAAAUUUAAAAAAUACAUGUGGCUGUUAUACCUAGGCGCAUCCAUCCAACUUUUAUCCAUGGUAGCUAGCUUCACACUUAGUUAUUACCAAAUCAACACUAAAUACUAAAAAGAUAAUAUCAUUACCAGAGAAUGCAAGGAAUUACUGCAAGUACUACCAUAAAUAAAAUGGAUCAAAGAUGUGGUUGACUCACCAACUGGUGGAAGUUGUAGUGACAAGCACGCAAGGGGGAUUAUUGUGCCACUACUGUAAGUUGAGUCUUUGGGAGCAAGAAUCCUGAUAACCAACCAAAUGAAAUCUGAUCGUGCCAUACAUUUGAGAUUGUGUAUUAUAUACAAUAAAAUAGCAUGCAAAUAAAAAACUGUUCAAAUAUUUUAAAAAUAGGCUAAAAUUUGUACAUUACAACACAUGAAAAUUAUACAUAAGCAACAUGAGCAUAUGUUCACAUGUACCGGAGAAUAUGAACUCUUCGAAAACAUGAAAAAAUAGGUUCAAAACUAUACAUCACAAUAGCAUAUUAGAAUUGACUUGACAACACCAUGAGCUGUUUAAAACAUGAAAAAUAGGCUAAAAACUGAAUGUAACAACAACAUAUUAUGAUAAGUUUGACAACAACAUUGCAUAUUAUAACAUGUCUAGCUCCAUUGCUACAAAAUUCACAAAGAACACAAAUCGGUUUAGAUCUCACUACCAAGGGACGGCAAGAAUAGCCAGCUGCAGAGCUUCUGUUGCUGAGAGUGCUUUGUCACGGCGCCCGACCUAUCUCCCCGGUUUGCAACAGGUUAAGCCCCAUCAACCCCGGGAUCUGCAGCAGAUUAAGCCCCAGAUUUGCCCUACGCGCGGCCUGACAACGACGAGGUGAUGAGAUAGCACCUGGGCGAAGGAGAAAGUUUGAGCGUGCGGGGCGGCAAGCCAGCAGGGUCGUGCGGCAGGCAAGGCCGUCUCCGGGGUUGGCCACCACAAGCAGCAGCACCUCCGAGACGUGCCCCGCCACGGCUGUAACGCCAUUCCACAGGGCAACUCUCCUCUGCAGUAGGUAGAGAGGCAACCGACACAGUGAAGAACCCGGCGGCGGCGUGGUGGAGCGCGGGGGCGCGGUGGAGAGCCCGAUGGUGGAGGCCAACAAUGCGGUGGAGCGCGGGGGCGCGAUGGAGCACGGGCGAGGGUGGAGAGCCCGGCGGUGGAGACCAACGGCGCGGGAGCGAGGUGGAGGCCAACGGCGCGGUGGAGCGCAGGGCGCGUGGGAGAGCCCGAUGACGGCGUGGUGAAGCGCAGGGGCGCAACGGAGACCCCGGCGGCGGCGUGGUGGAGCGCAGGGGCGUGGUGGAGCGUGGGGGCGCGAUGGAGCACGGGCGAGGGUGGAGAGCCCGGCGGUGGAGGCCAACGGCGCGGGAGCGAGGUGGAGGCCAACGGCGCGGUGGAGCGCAGNNNNNNNNNNUGGGGAAUGAAGUCAGGAAUUUGGCUGUGCGCGGCGUUGGUGAUUUUGGGGAAAACCUUUCGCGCGUUGGGCCGGCUAUUGGCGCGAAAAAAUUGGCUCUUCGCGCGCUAGAGGCCCAUAGCAUCGGACAGUCGGUCGGGGUUAUUUGCCGACUGAUAGUCCAUGGGCCAUAACGGUUUUCCCAAUCGAUACGUGGAUGGUAUAGGAUGUAGCAUUCCCGACCGAUGAUCCAUUAGAAUUUUUUCUAGCUGACUGUCGAUUGGCAAUAGUGCCUUUUUCCCAACACCCGUCAGUAUGUAAUGCAGUGUCGUGGUGUAUUGACGCCAACGAGCAUACCCCCACCGGACCGGUUCUUCUCUUGUGCAUUUAUUUUUCAAGAAACUUCUUCAGCAUUUUAUGCACCGGGCUGACUCAUCGCUUGUUCGUGUAAUCUUUGUCCAGGUUGGUUAGGUGGGGGUAUAUGCUCGAUUGCUGGGGUACAUGAUGGGCAGAUGUAGAUUGAGUAUUGAAAACAAAUCACAUCUUGUGCUUCAUGUCCGGUCCUUCAUGAUCGUGGAACCUAGGAUCAAUAACUUUAAAGUAGCGUUUGCCUUGAUCGAUGGUAGAAGUGAUAUGAGUGCCUAAGGUUUAGGCCUAAUACUUCCCCGUUUCAUAAUGUGUGGUGCCUAUAAAUUAUUUAGGAGUCAAACUUUACAAGUUUGAUCAAGUUUAUAGAAAAUUAUUUAUAUAUACAAUAUCACUUAUAUGUAGUAUGAGAUGUCCACCUCAUGAUACAAAGUAUUCUUUGUAACCCCGGUUAAAGUUUGUCUUUUGAGAUAAUCUAUGUGCAUUGUAUUAAGGAAGACAGGGUAUAUGGGUCAACAUUGAUUAGUUAAGCGACCGACAUGCGCUCAAGGAGUUGUGUCAUUCGAUUCUGUGGAUGAGCACGGUGCCCAUCUAGGCAUCUAUAUGUGGGGCACGCCUGUUCGGCUGAGCGGGGCCAAAGAGAAGAAGCAGCAAAACCUAUACGAGGUCGAGAUGCGCACGUUGGAUGCGGAGCGCGAGAUGGAGGCCGAGCGGUAGCAUGCGGCACACGGGUACAGGAUGCUACAACCGGUCUAGCAGGCGGCGCUAAAUGCAACACAACAGGCAUCGGGAGUUGGCAUCCUUCGGCCUUGUAUCAUGCAAGGUACUUAGAAGAGGUGUUUAAAAAAAACUAGUAUACAAGGUAGACUCUUAGUUAGGCGUCUCUCUUAUAAAAAUAGACACUGGUAUUUGAAAAAAAAAUCCGGUUUAUUUUUUUAAACACUUAGCAUUGUACAAGGCCUUCUAGACUCCUCCCUUUUCCAUGGAUGGAGACAUCGAGGCACGUCCCUAGAUUCAUCGUCUGUCUGUUUUCACAUUUUUAGUUUUAACUGGCAUAAAUGCCCAUGCGUUGAAACGGAAGAAAAUUUGAUAGAAAUUAUAAAAUCUCCCUCUUUUCACAAAUGUGCUUCGAGCGCCAAUCUUCUAUCCAACUCCGACAAAUUAUGUAUGAAUAUGGAUAGAAGAAGGGAAUGAUUAUAAAAACAUUUAGUGCACCAAGUAAUUUUUUCCUAUUCUUCUCUCCUCGAGUAGCGUUAAAAAAGUCACAAUUAGGGUUACUCUUAUUUGUAGUGAUAGUAUAAAAAUAAUGUUAUUGUCGUCAUGUUUACUAGAGUUUUAGUAAAGAAACAAAAACAAAAAUAGCUAGAAUGAAGAAGGGAUGGAAAAAUUAUGAAAUUUACAAAAAUGUUAAUUCCCUCACUUCAAAACUAUUCGAUCAACAUACUUAAUUCUUUGUUAAAAAUCAGAUUAUUAACACGAAGUUUCAAGCUUGAAAAUAAAAUAAAAUAACACAUCAUUCUCAAUGAUUUUGUUUGAGCAUCUCUCUCGCAUGAGCAAAUAGCAAAAACCACCAUAAUUGUGCAAAAGUCAUCAAACUCCCACCAAAAUGCAUGCUUUAUGGUGGUUUUUUCCUCAAGCAUUGAUAACUUCGACCUGAUUGUGAUUUUUUUAAUUUACUCCUCUCGCAUGCGUCUCUCUUUCUCCCCUCACUCAUCAGCAUGCCCACUAAAUGAAACGUGCAAGAACUCUCACCGAGCUUCUCUUUAAAAGUAAUCAAGGCUAAACGAAACAUUAUCAAUAGAGGUUAGUUUGCUGGUAGGUAUUUUUAUCCUAUCGAGGUCCUGUUUGUUUCAUAAGUCCUAGGACUUUUUUAAGUCCCGACUUAUAAGUCAUAAGUUACUACCUGUUUGUUUACAGGGACUUAUAAGUUUCGAGUCUCUGCCUGUUUGUUUACAGGAACUUAUAAGUUCAUGUUGCACCUAAUAAUACACUUGUUCACAUAACCCUUGUUCAUACAAAUGAAUUGCAGAAUAGUGACAAUCGAAAUAACAAUUGUUCAUAACACUUGUUCAUACAAACGAAUUAACACUUGUUCAUAAGAACCAAAAUAAGAGAGAGUACAUAACAAUUGAGAUAUCAAAAAUUACAUAAGCGAAGAACCUUGGGGCACGGGCCUACCACGACCAGGUCCGACCGAAGGAAGGCCAUGACCGGCCGACUGGUCGAAGAGGAGUUGUUGGUACGAGCCGAACUCCGGGAAGUCGUCGACGUUGCCGUUGAGAUCCAAGAAACGCCCGAAACCCAUUCCCUCCCGAGAUUUCCACCGGCGGAUGAGAACUGGGAGAAAAAAGGCAGCUGCUCCUCCUCCUCAUCAGCCAUGGUACGGUGACCUGGGACGCGAGGAUCGUCAUCAGCCAUGGCGCGGUAACCUGCAGUCAACAUGGAUUGUCAUCAGCCAAAAUGUCAACAAGAAACUGGAUGAAUCAACAGUAACAUUCCAUAUUUUUCAGUUAUUAUUAUACAGGAAACUAGAUGAAUCAUCUUUUAAUUAUAUUAGCAAGAAUCACCAGGAAACUGGAUUAAUUGCAUCGCACAUGACCGGCUUAAUUGCAUCGCACAGACUGGGUGAAUCAUCAACGAAUCAUCAGUGAAAUUGCAGCGCACAGGCCGACGGGACGGGACGGCGGGGGGACGGGGCGACGGGACGGGACUAACCGAGGCAGAAACGGGCGACGGGACGGGGCGGCGGGGGGACGAGCCGAGGCCGAUGGGACGGGACGGCGGGGGAACGGGGCGACGACGGGGCGGGUCGGCGACGGGGCGGGCGGCGACGGGGCGGCUACUCCAGCGAUGCGGGGCGGUGGGGCGGCGGCGGGGCGGGCGGCGACGGGGCGGCUAGCGAUGCAGGGCGGUGGGGCGGCGACGAUUGGGCUGGGAACGACACGGGGUAGGGCGGUGGGGCGGCGGGCACUGAUCGAUGCGGGAAACGACGCGGACCAACGAGCAUAAUUCCCAAUAAGCUCCUCCCUGAGAGUCUUAUUUGAUAAGUCCCAAAUCACCACAAUAAGUCCCAAUAAGCCCCUUGUGUUUGGUUUAGGUGGGACUUAUAGGGACUUUUUUAAGUCCCUAAACCAAUAAGUCUUUGAAAACAAACACCCUGUGAGAGCGACAUGCAAUGUGCGCGCACAUCCAUGAAAAGUCUCACAAUCCUGUCAUGCUGCUUUCAAUCAAUCAUGAAAUCAAUUGUCCAUAAUUCUGCUUUAAGUAUGCGUCGUUUCUUUUCGGGCGUCAAAUUCCUGCUUUAAAUUUGGCCAUGAAAUCUCCCACCAUCCUGCUUUAAUUAGGAGUCAAUUAGCCAUGUAUGCCCUAUUGGGAACGACAUGCAUCGACGUUCAAUUAGUCAUGAAAUUAAUAGUCCAUAAUUCUGCUUUAAGUAGGAGUCGUAAUGGCUCCCAAAUUCCCGUUUUAAAUUAGGCUAGAAAUCUCCCACAAUUCUCCUUUAAUUAUGAGGCAAUUAGCCACACAUUCCUCCUCAUUUAUCAAAUUAUUAGCAUGUGCAGCCAUGGGCAUAAUUUUGAGAGUUAAUUUCUUUGCUUUUCUAGGAAUUUGUUUCCUUGAAAUAAGUGGGUUUUUCAUAGGAUUAAUGGGACUCACAUGUCUUUCUCUUUUUGUUUAUUUUGAUGGCUGCCUAUUGACAUAUAAAAACUGGUGAAAUUUUGCAUAAAAGGGUCGGGGUCGUACAAUUUAGUUGGUAGAUGAAUCCAAAUUUUAAAUGAUAGCAUGAGCUAAAUGAGUUGGUUGGGUACUUUGAUAUGUAAUGUGAAGAGGUUGUGUGUUCAAACCACCAUGGGUGCAUAGUUUUUUAUGCUAUAUCUUUAUUAAUGGGCUGCACACUACUUUUAAUUUUUAAUGGGUUGUGUGUGGCCCAUGCAAUAAAAUCGGAAAUUUUAUUACAAAGCUGGCCUCGAGGGAUACGUGACAGAUCAAAUUUUACGUAUGUAGAUUGGAUGUUGACUGAAAAAAGGUCAUGGUGUUUUGCGUAAAAUAUUAUGACAAUUCAGAAUACAUAUUUUCUUUAUUAGUAGGGAGCUGCUACGCCUUGGCCUAUGGAUCUUUUUAAAAGAUCCGUCACCUCGCGAGUCCUUGGAUGUGGCAGAAUCUACCGCCUGAAUUUCCUCCUCUACUCCGCAACAUAUAUCUUGUUUUAAAAACAUUUACGACAUAGGUUGUCUUACGGAUUUUUUUGUACACAAACUGUGUUGCGGGAUUGUUUUUUUGCAACAAAAACUUUGUUGUUGCAGACUUUUUCUUGCAACUGAGGUUUUGUUGCACAUAUUUUUUGCAGGAGGGAUGAUGUUGCAAAACCUUGUCAACAUUACUGCCAUCAUUUCCUACGAUGCUUUGCGACAUAACUGAUGUUGCAAGAUAUGGUGAAGGAGCAUAGGCAGGGAAAAUAAUGAACCCAUACGAGCAUACGUGAGGACAAAUGGAUGAAGGGUGAUCCAACGGCUGCGCGGGUGGCAGAACUUUCCGCCUGAUCUGCCUGUAGAGUGUGAGUAAUCCCUUAUUACUAGGUAUAUAGAUAUAAAUAUAGAUUAUGUAAAUUGAACUUUUGUAGUUAUUUUAUUAUUUUUAGUUUUAAAUAUUAAAAUUAUUCUAUCCGCGUUUGGCUGUCGGUGAACAAGAACGGAUAAUGACAUCUGCUUAGGCCAACUUCAACCCACGAUUCCAAAUGGACGUCUUUUUUGUUCGGAUUUCGUUUGUUUGGACCGGCAAAACAUACGUUUGUGUCCGGUUUUCGGCGUCGGCCUCAGCAUGCACCCAAUGGGCGGCCGCAUCGCAUAUUGCCCGCAUCACAUGAAUAAAAAAGGCGAUCACACAUUUUAUAAUACAAAGAUAAAACUUAAUUUAAACAUUACUAAAUUCUAAAAAGUCCAUGCGCCUUAAAUAAACAUUACUAAGAAAACUUCAAUGCCACCACUGCCCGUGGCCGUCGUCGCUACCGCCGUCGUCUUCACGUGUCGUCUAUGGUGAGGUUGACAUACGACGGAGGCAUCCAGAGGUGGGUCGAGGGCGCGUGCGUUGGAUGAAUGCGUCGCGAGGGCGGGAGGGGCUUGAUGGUGACUGUGGUGGCGUGGGCGCCCAAGGCUCGGCACCUAUCGAGUCGACCAUCUCCGACGCGAUGGCCGACCAUGCGAGGGUUCCAAACACCAGCGACGGGCUCCUCUAUGCAGGGUGGCUCCUCCACGGCCUCCUCCUUGACGGCUAUCUCUAGCUCUCGGAUGGCGACGUCGUCGACCGCGGAGAGGGCCAUCAUCUCCUCGAGCCCCUCCCACUUGCGCUUGUCGUGGGUGUGGAGAUAGUCCUAUAUCACGUGCCACAUCGGCUCCCCCUCCCCAUCGGUGAUAGGGACUGGUUGGGGUGGCGACGACGGUGAUGGGUUGGACGUGAACCUAGACAGCCGACAAAGUACGACUAUCGCGCGCACGCCGUGUUCAUCACGGAACCAAGUAUCCCAUAGAGGCAAGUCUAUGGCAUACCGGUGGUCGUUGACGAGGUCAGGCGGUAGGUGGGUGCGGCGGUGACAGAUCUCCUCGCGAAGGGCCCGGACGCUCAUCGGGACUGGUGGGAUCGACACCCAAUAUGCGGAGAGGUGUCAGUUAUUGGGGAGGUGCACGUCGCUCCACGAGAACAAUGAGCACAUCUCCCAAUACCACUCGCGGAUCUCGGCCUUCACGUACGACCGCAUGCGAGGAGCGGCCGGCGCUGACGAGACGUGAAAUGGGGGGGUGUAGGAAGUGGAGAUGGAGGAGGAACGAUGGCCGGAGGAAGACCCGUGUGACAGCCCGAGACCGACGUUCCAGAAGCUUCCCCUUUUCUUUUCGUUUUCGUCGUGUGCGUAUUUUCAGUUGCCGCAUCAUCAUCGCAUCUUGCGCAUCAUCUGCAUUGCAUCGGCAUCUCCGUUGCCGCCAGUUUUCAAAACUUGCAUCCGUUAGUAGUUGCCGGUUCUCGUCGUUGCCCGUUCCGAGCCCCGACCGCACACGCACGCGCCCGCGGCACCGUCGAAACCCUGUUUUAAAAGCGCGUUUAAAACUCUCUCUGAUCGAGGUGAAACUUGGCACGCGAUCGCGAUUAGAUGUAGCUAGGCCGCCUGUCGAAUUUCGUCGCGAUCGGAGACCGUCUGGUACCCGAACGGUCGCUCGUAGCGGCACCGUAUUCGGGCUACUGUCGGACGUUGUCGGUGUUUUAAAGUUCAUGCCGCGCCGCCCGUUCUCCCUCUCGUCUCCGGACAUCUACACAACACGGUCGCGUACCCAUACCCGCGUUCGGAAUCGUCCGAAUCCGACCCCGCGGUUGGAUCCGGAGCGCGAUUCCGGUUAACCGAGCCCCCUUUUUCCUUAUGAAUACCCCCUCCUCCUUAAUUUUGGAUAGCCCCUCUUCCCUGCCUCGUUUUCCGCACCCCACCUACCAAACCCUAACCCUAGCCGCAGCAGCCCCUCCCCACCAGCGCCGCCGGCCCGCCCGAGCCCGCGCGCGGCCCGCCGGGCCCGAACCGCCGCCGCCGAGUGCCCGAGCCCCUGCAACCCCGAGCCUCCCCCAUGGCUCGCUGCUCCCGUCGCCGGCGCCGCCUCUCCCCGCGCCUCGCGCCGCGCCGCCUUCCGCCGCUGCGCCUCGGGCGGCGCCGACCAGCACCGUCGUCGACAGCCGCCGCCGCGCAGGGCCCCCUCCGGCCGCUGUAGCCCCAGAUCCUGCGCGAGCCGACCUCGUCGUCCAGGGGUCGCCUCGAGCGCCGCCGCCGGGACCUCGCCCCUUCGGCCGCGCCGCCGCGCCUCCCUCGCCAGUGGCCGCCUCGCCUGCCUCGCUGCGCCCCGUGUUGCCCCCCCUCGCCGGCCGCCGCAGCACCGCCCGGCGCCACCGCUCGCACGUCCUGCUCGGGAGCAGGGCAACGGGAGCGCCUCCUCCUCCCGCGUGGGCCCCGAGCUGGCCCAGCCGGGACGGCCCACCUCCCUCGGCCUCGCCCAGCUCCCCGGCCCAUCUCCAGCAGAGCCCGUCCGGUCCAGGUGAGAGCCCCCCUCGAGCCUCUCUACCUCGCGCCCCAGGCGCCUCUUAGUGCUUUCGCGCAUGGAUUUCGGCCCAGUAGACAUUUAGGAGUUAGACCGAAUUUAAAUUCUUUUUCAGGGUUAGACUAGAAUUUAAACCCCUGUAACUUUUAAACCGUAAGCCGGUUCGAGACGUGUUAUAUAUCGUUUUGGGGUAGCUUCGCGAGUAGAACACGUUUAUCCAACAUGCAUAUUUAUUUAACGCUGUUUAGAGUGCCUAAUGCCUCGUUUUACGUGCUGUUUAACUAGGUUUCGAUCCGUAGUUAUUUUUCGCGCGUGUCCGGACUGCCCGUAUGCCAUAGAUUUAAUGUCCAUGUUUUAGGGACCAUAUUUCUACGUAUUUUAGAGCGGUCACUCGUAUUUUUCCGUGUAGGGUUUUGCCGGUAGUUUAUUUUCUCGUUUAGAGGUAUUAUCUCGCAUUAUUGUGUGGCGUUAUUUUGUGCUGCAAACCCCACAUAUUAUAUAUGUUUCCGGGGUAGAAAAAUCCCAUGGAUUUUUCUGUGCAAUUAGUUUUAGCUUUUGAGGAAGUUAGUUCGCGAGAUAUUUUGCCGUGAUGCCCUUUUGUUUAAUCCGUAGGUUUUAUUCCGGGCCUCGUUUGAAUUAGUUGUCAACUAGUGUUUUGAUCUUGGAUGUUUUGUUUAGUCCCUGCUAUUUUUGGUUGCAAUAGAAAUGCAUGUUUAGGUGUUAUUUGACUGCCCUCAAGUUGCUUGAAUAGUGCUGUUUCAGAGGAGCCGAAAUAUUUCUAAGUCUGGAAUCUGUUAUUAUUUUGUUGUUGUCUUGUCUUGCUUCUAUCUUGUGAUCUGUAUCUCUUUUGAGGUUGGUCCAAUGGAGUUAGUUGUUCCCCUUAUGUUUCUCUAGCAUGCUGUUAAGUUUCAUGCCAUUUGGAGACCUGUAGCUUAGGGCUUUGCUGCUGUCAAUAUUGCUUCAGGCUGAAAAGUGCACUUUCAGGAGGUGAUAUUUUCACUAAGUCUGAAAUAGUGCGUGAGAUGCCAUUUUGUGUCUUCUUUUCCUAGUGCUCCUUGCUGCCAAGCUAGUAGUUGUUAGUUGUUUGUAGUAGUGCGUCUUGCCCUCUUUCAUGCCGUGCCUUGCUUGAGCUCCUCGGAGUUGUGUAGCCGAAGUUGUGAGUCGUAGAAGUUGCUAUGUGGCUGUUUUGGGCAGAUUGUAGCGUUUUCUUGUUUUGCUCGUAGUUUCCGAACCGUAGCUCCGAUUUGGUCAUGUCCUACAUGAAACUUGCUUAGAAUCUCGUGUAGUUUCAUUUUCUCUUGCUGGUUGCAUGUGAUGAAGUGCUCGUAGCCGCCGUUGCACACAUUUUGCAUUCAUGCUAUCAUAUCUUGCGGUGCUUGCAUCUUUUGAACCGUAGCUCCGUGGGAGAUGUUCUUUACGUGUAGGUUGCUUGCCUUGACGCGUAGAAUCACGUGAACCUAUUUGUUUUGCUGGUUAACAACCAAUUAUAUGCUUUAGUUCAGAUCUGGUCAGAAUUGUAAAUUAACUUGUGAGGUCGUCUCGGAGAUGCUAUAUAUCAUUUCCGACCUCAUUUAAAAUGUCUAGGUAGGUUGUUUAAUUCCCGCUCCACCUCUUGCAUGUUUAACAACAUUAACAUUGUCGUGUAAAUAACCGGGAGUGAACUAAAUAACUACCGUGGAGUUUCGUCAAUAUGCAACUCGUGCAUAUUGAACUUCACUUAAUGUGUAGUGUUUGAUUGUGUGUUUUGUCAUGCCGUGACUUGCAUGUAUUCAGUAGCUCAUGCAUCAUAUGUGUCUUGCGUCGUGUGGUGAUUCUCGUGUGUUGAUGCUUGUUUCCGGUUUCCUCCGUCUCGAUAGAGUUCCGCAAGCGUGUCGGAUGUGAGGACCGUUCGACUACGUCGGUUCGUCUGCUUCACGGAGGCAUACUUCUUCCAAGCGGGAUCUCAGGCAAGAUGAUCAUUUCCCCAGAUACCACUACUAUCAUUGCCAUGCUAGUUUUAUCGCUUCUAUCGUUUAUGUCACGUUGCCUACCACCUGUUAAAUAUCAGCCUCUCAACAAUGCCAUGAUUACCUUCAACCUGUUCGACCUAGCAAACCACUGAUUGACUAUGUUACCGCUUGCUUAAUCCUGUUGAUAGCGUUGCUAGUUGCAGGUGCAUUGCUUCCAUGUGAAAGCAUGGGUUCCUUGUUAUAUCACCAUAUUAAAUGCUAUUUAAUUUAAUGCACCUAUAUACUUGGUAAAAGGUGGAAGGCUCGGCCUUUCUAGCCUGGUNNNNNNNNNNNNNNNNNNNNNNNNNNNNNNNNNNNNNNNNNNNNNNNNNNNNNNNNNNNNNNNNNNNNNNNNNNNNNNNNNNNNNNNNNNNNNNNNNNNNGUAAUUUGUGAUGGACUAGUUGGAGCACCCCUGCAGGGUUAAAUCUUUCGGAAAGCCGUGCCCGCGGUUAUGUGGCAACGUGGAAGCUUUGUUUAACACUGGUUCUAGAUAACUUGAAGUUAACUUAAUUAAAACAUGCCAACUGUGUGCGUAACCGUGACUGUCUCUUUCGUGAGUUCCUUCUCCGAUCGAGGACACGGUGGGGUUAUGUCUGACGUAGGUAGGUGUUCAGGAUCAUUCUUUUAAUCAUCUGUAGUGACGUCCUUUAUGCGUAGAUCUCCCCCCUCUUAUUUCUUGUACUCGUAAGUUAGCCACCAAAUAUAUGCUUAGUCGCUGCUGCAACCUCACCACUUAACCAUACCUCUCCCAUUAAGCUUUGCUAGUCUUGAUACCUUUGGAAAUGAGAUUGCUGAGUCCCCCGUGGCUCACAGAUUACUACAACACCAGUUACAGGUGCAGGUAAAGGUUACUCGACGUGAGCGCGUUGAUUGUUCAUUUGAAGUUGCUACUUCUUCUUCUUCGAUCUAGGAUGGGUUCCAGGCCGGCAACCUGGGAUAGCAAGGAUGGACGUCGUUCUUCUUUUGUCGUUUGUUUUCGUCUGUAGUCGGACCCUGCUCUUACUCCUGAUGUUUAUGUAAUGUACUGAUGUGACUCUGAUGUAGCUUGUGGCGAGUGUAAGCCAACCCUCUUUAUAUAUCUCUCCUUUUCAGUACAUGUACUUGUAACGAUAUCCAUUCUUGCGACACGACGAGAUGCGCUUCUAUCCCUGACGAGGCCCUCGUGCCAAAUUGAGGAUAGGGUCGCAUCUUGGGCGUGACAACCCGACUCGUGGUCGUGCUUCCCCUUAUGACCGAGGAUCCAGUGCCAACCCAUUUUGCUGGUGACGAGGUGGAGGAUAGGAGGCGUCGGAGCCAAGGUUUGACACGGGCGUGUCGGGCUCCGAGGAACUCCACAACUUCCACAUUAAGAAGGACGACGAGCAAAGGCGCUCUACGGCUGACAGACGGGCCCACCCCCAUGUGUCCCUUAAAGGCGAGCAGUGGGAGGUAGGUGGGCGGCUGCCACGCGACCCUCAGACGGACGCAAAGCAAACGCGUGGGCGUCCAUUCAAUCAUUUCGUGUACGUCUGAACACAAACCAGGAGAAUGUUUGCGCGAGAAAUGUGAAUGCUCACGCGAGUUGAGCCUUCUCAUCAUACCCACACGGUUUGGAGUUUUGCGUUGAAGUAUACCUGGGUAUUCUUCGGUCCGGGCCAAAAAAAGCCCCGUGAAGAAAACCCAGGCCCGAGCCCGGCCCGGCCCGACCGUCGGGCCUAAAUAUUGGGGCCAAGCCCGACCCAAACCGAAAAAAGCCCGACUGAGCCCGACAGGUUCAGCCCGACCGCGAUGUAAAAAUUGUUUUUGUCGAGCCCGAGCCCGACCCGACCCGACCGUUGGGCUCAAAUUCCAGGACCAAGCCCGGCCCGAUGGGACAUUUAGGCCCGGCUCGACCCGUGAUUUUCGAGUUGGGUCUGGUCGGGUCGUCCGGACCGGGUUGCCCAUGGCCACGUAUAGUUGAAGUUGGCCUUAGCCGACCCAAACACACACACACACACACACACACACAAAGACAAAAUCCGCGUCCGUGUUAACCUGAGAAAAUGCAUCGUCGAAGGCAUAACACGACACGUGCACUCCACUCCAUGCCUGCCCCCUCCCCUCAGGCCUUGUCCGGUUGCAUGACAAAUGGGUGGGAUUGACAUGUAUUGACAGGGAUUAAAUCCCAUCUAGGUCAAAUUCCUCCCAAAUUCCCUCCAAUCCACUCCAAUCCACCUGGUGGGUGGCUUAACCGAACAAGGCCUGAAGGUGCCUUUAGAGCAUCCCUAGUAGUACCCUCAAACCCUUAAAUUCUUAAAAAUAAUUGUUUUCUACAGCUUGCGAGCAAAAAAAAUCGCGUAGACUAGAACCCCUUAACCCUCAAACCCUUAAAUUUUUUUUGAGGAUCAGACCUUCAAACUCUCUCCCAACCUGUACAAGUGAGGAUUGGAGAGCAAAACCUACCCCAACCCUCACUUGCGAGCCAUCCGAGCGCGGAGGGAAAUUUCCUGUCCCCAAAUCCCGUUUGCGCCCACCCGAGCCGCCGCCAGCCGCCUCUCCAGCCGUCGCCGCCGUCCCGUCCCCCGGCCGCNNNNNNNNNNNNNNNNNNNNNNNNNNNNNNNNNNNNNNNNNNNNNNNNNNNNNNNNNNNNNNNNNNNNNNNNNNNNNNNNNNNNNNNNNNNNNNNNNNNNNNNNNNNNNNNNNCCCGUCCGAGCCCGCCCCCACCCCGCCCCCCGGCCGCCGCCCGCCCUCCGCCCGCAGCAGGCUGGACGCCUCUCCUCCACCUCCUCCCGCGCGCGCCCCCCGGCCGCCGCUCGCCCCUCCACCUCCUCCCCCCCGCGGCCUGCCCCUGGUAACCUGCGCCCGCCUGAUUAUUGUUUUCUUCAAACCGUUAUUGAGAUGAUGAAAAUUAUGAUAUGUGAAAUGACAGUUUUAAAGGCACCGUCCUGUUUUCCAACUAUUAAAAAUGUCAAAAAAAUGUCAAUUUUCAACUGUUAAACUGAUUUUAGGAUUUGAGCGCACUAGUAGCAGCGAUUCUCUUAUUCUUCUUCCCCACCCAUCCUCUUCACCCCCGCUCUCAUUCCCAUUCCCCGCACCCCUCAAUUGCAUCGGAGCAUUAUUUUUGCUAAAUGGUCCCUUCACAGGAUCUUAUGUAUGUACCAGAGCAUCUACAGCCGGCCCCUGGAUCUGGAACCCGAGUGGAUACCCAUCCCAUCCGGAUCCGGAUCUUGACCGACCCCUUCCCCCGCCGGCGACGAGCCCUAGCUAGCUCGGACCAGUCCUGGUGCGAGAGGCCACCGGCGGCAAGGCUGCGUGCGGUGGCGGAGCAUGCACUGCGAGCGCUCUACUCGGAUCUGACCGAACCCCGUCGCCGCGCCCGUCCCGCUCGCCGUGGCCGAUGAUCGCGCGCGUCGGCUGGGGCCGCGUCCCUCCCCAGAUGGCGGCGAUGAUGGAGGGAGCCGCCGGCACCAGCCCCCUCCCGCCUCGCCGGACCGCGCAUCGGCUUGGAGGCCCCUCGGGACUGCCGCCGGUGCGGGGGGGCGUCCGCGGCCUUGCGGGCUGGGGACCGAGCGGGAUCUGAGCCGCCGUCGAUGGAUUUCUCGCAGCCUGGCUUCGUUUUUCUUUGGAUCCGGUACGGUCCCCAUAUCUCUCUCUCUCUCUCUCUCUCUCUCGGAGUUGACACCACUAGAUCCAAAUCCUAAACCAAAUCAGGGGAGCUCUCGUUGCCGGAUCGCUGGCCUAUCGUCCGGAUGUCCGCCGCGUCAGUUCCCCACAGCUACGGUGCCGCCAGCCACCGCCGUUCCAUUGCCUUGGAUUCGGCUGUGCGUGUGGGCUGGGAACCGUUCUCUGUUGUCUGAUGCGUCGUUGGAGCGGGAGCUUUGGUCGGUCGAGGCCAGGUAUGAGCAUCCACGAAGGCGUAGAAGAUCGACAUCNNNNNNNNNNCGUGGGCUGGGAACCGUUCCCUGUUGUCUGAUGCGUCGUUGGAGCGGGAGGUUUGGUCGGUCGAGGCCAGGUAUGAGCAGCUCCUGAGCUGGCUGGAUGGAUGGAUGCAGGUCAUGUGUCGUGAACUAACACCACGAUACUUAGGCUGUUUGUAAUGGGAGUAUCAUAAGUAGGCAAUUUUGAUGAUUCUUCAUAGAAUUAAAUGAAGUUGAGUAUGUGUCAUGCAUGGCAAUAAAUGAACCACCCUAUGAUACUAUUAACAGAUUAUAAUAUGCAUUACGGAUGUAGUAUCAUAUGCAUAAUACUAGUAUAUGAUACUCUCUAUUACGACCAGCCUUAUCUGGAACGGAGGGAGUAUACUUUGGAACAGAGGGAGCAACUAGAGCCGACACCCAGCAACCCAGCAACCAAAUCCGGAGCCGUCGCUCGGACCCCGAGUCCACGCACCAGGCUGGCCAACGACACUGUCACCCACAUGGCCAGUGCUGGCAUCCCUCCACUCUCUCUCUCUCUCUCUCUCUCUCUCUUUAACCCUAAAACAAAUCAGUCAAGCUCUCGUUGCCAACUCGCUGACCCACCGUCCGGGUGGCUGCCACAUCAGUUCCCUGUUGCCACGGUGCUGCCAGCCUGCCAUUCCACUGCCUUGGAUUCGGUUGUGGCGUGGGCUGGGAACCGUAGAGUUUUGUUCCGAUGUGUCGUUCAAGGCGGAGGUUUGGUCGGCUGACGUUAGGUAUGAGCAGCUCCUGAGACUGUCUAAGUUACUCACCACUAUGACCAGUUUGAUGGAUGGAUGGAUGCUACUGUGUGAUGAAGGCCCUGUUUGGAUACUCUAACUUAGCUAGAGGUUAGAGGUUAAAGUUAGUGCUACUGUGUGAUGAAGGCCCUGUUUGAACGGUAGAGUUAGCAGGAUGGAUGAAUGCAGGUCAUGUGUCGUGAACUAAAGCCACGAUACUUAUCUCGAACAGAGGGAGUAUAUUUUGGAACGGAGGGAGUACAUAUGUAUGUAUGGAUAUCAUGGUCAUGUUGCUUUGGGGUUCAACCUCUUUUUGGAUUAAAAAAGAGGGGCGAUGCCGAUGAUGAUUACUGUGGCUGAAAUAAUCAUGUCUUGAGACAUCAAGACAGCCAUGGCGAGGUGGGACUAAAUAGUGCCUGAAAAUUGGUGUCUGUGUUGGAGUUGCUCUUAGAGCCCACCCUUACCUCUGUUGCAGCCUGUCCAAUUCAUCGCCAAUGUUGGAUGUUCUGUGCCUUGGACGGUCGUUCUGAUGAGUGAUAACCAGGGCAGUUCUCUUACAUUGUGAUGGGUGGAUUAUGCUGCAAGAGAUGUGAGUGUUGGGUUUGAAGAUGAAAUGCAAAACUGAGCCNNNNNNNNNNCUUGCUACGUUACAUAAACUCGGUUCAGUUGCAUUUUGUUCUGGAUCUGGGAUGGAUCCUCCUCCUCUCUCUCUCUCUCUCUCUCUCCCUCCCUGCGAAGAAGAAGAAGAAGAACAAACCAGUCAAGCUCUCAUUGCCGACUCGCUGACCCGUCGUCUGGGUGGCUGCCACAUCAGUUCCCUGAAUCUACGGUGCUGCCUGCCACUGCCAUUCCAUUGCCUUGGAUUUGGUUGUGGGGUUGGCUGGGAACCGUACAGUAUUGUCUGAUGUGUCGAAUGAGCCGGAGGUUUGGUCAGCUGAUGCCGGGCAUGAGCAGCUCCUGAGACUGAGACUAGUCAUAGGUGGGAGUAACUUAGGUUUUAGUUCAAUUUGAACUUGAACUAAAACCACAACAGGAAUUAUGUAACGGAGGGAGUAACAUACAUGCCACAUACGCAAAAAAGGUGGUGUGACAAGUAAUUAAAGAGGAUGGAUGGAUGGAUGUGUGCAUGCAUGUAAUGGGUAUCGUGGUCAUGUUGCUUGGUGUAUAGAGCCCAGCCGAGGGAUCAACCUCCUUUUUGGGAAAAAAAUGAGGGGCGAUGAUGAUGUCACCGGCCGACAUAAUCAUGCCUUGAGCAAUCAAGACAGCUGUGGUGUGUGGGUACUAAUUAGAGCCGGAAUCGGUGACCUCGUUGGAGAUGCCCUUAGAGCCCACCCUUACCUCUCUUGCAGCCUGUUCAAUUCAUCUAUGAUGUUGUAUGUUCUGUGCCUCGGACGGUCGUUCUGAUGAGUGAUAACCAGGGCAGUUCUAUUACAUCGCGAUGUGUGGAUAGCAAGAGAGUGAGUGCUGGGUUUGAAGAUGAAAGAUAAAACUGAGCCAUCAAUUUUUCACCGUUUAGUUGCAUCUUGUUUUGGAUUCGGUAUGGAUCCUCCUCACCUCUCUCUCUCUCUCUCUCAAACCCUACGCUCUCAUUGCCAACCCGCUGACCCAUCGUCCGGGUGGCUGCCACAUCAGUUCCCUGUUACUACGGUGCUGCCAGCCUGCCAUUCCAUUGCCUUGGAUUCGGUUGUGGCGUGGGCUGGGAACCGUAGAGUUCUGUUCUGAUGUGUCGUCUGAGACGGAGGUUUGGUCGGCUGACUCCAGGUAUGAGCAGCUCCCGAGACUGUCUAAGUUACUCACCACUAUGGCCAGUCUGAUGGAUGGAUGGAUGCUACUGUGUGAUGAAGAGAUGGAGUUCUUACAGGGGCGAUGAUGAUGACCAUGGCUGAAAUAAGCAUGCCUUGAGCAAUUAAGACUGCUGUGGCCUGUGGGUACUAAAUUAGAGCGCACCCUUACCUCUCUUGCAGCAAUUCAAUUCAUAGCUAAUGUUGGAUGUUCUGUGCCUUGGACGGUCAUUCUGAUGAAUGAUAACCAGGACAAUCCUCUUACAUCGCAAUGGGUAGAUUAUGCAGCAAGCUAUGUGAGUGUCAGGCUUUAAGAUGAAAGGCAAAACUGAGCCCUCUUUCGCUACGCUACAAAUAUUUGAUUUUACCUUCUUUAAUAUGCAUUGUUUUUUUUUNNNNNNNNNNNNNNNNNNNNNNNNNNNNNNNNNNNNNNNNNNNNNNNNNNNNNNNNNNNNNNNNNNNNNNNNNNNNNNNNNNNNNNNNNNNNNNNNNNNNUCUCUCUCUGUCUCUCUCUUUCCCCGCCCAGCAACAAAUAGCCGUAACUGGUAACUUGCUGUAGAGCAAGGCCUCCUAGUAUAACGACUAACUGUCUAACUGGGCAAAGUUGAAUGGAACCAAUCUCAGGAUAUGUUGAAAGAUCUCCAACACCAAAGGGGAGGAAAUCAUCAUAGCCAUUCAGAAAAGAAUAGAACUCAUCAACACACAACAGAAACAAAUAUGCUGUGUUCAGAAGACAUCAAUCCAAGUCCAGAUGGGCCGUUACUCACAUCAACACAAUAUAGAGGAAUAGAAAAAAAAANNNNNNNNNNUUGUGUUCAGAAGUUAAUUUGGACCACUAUGCUGAUGGCCGUAUUACUGACAAUGAAAGAAGCGAUUUACAUUUGUUCACUUAAAAUAAAAGGAGUAACUGCAAGCCAAAUAAAAAAAGGACAAUAUAAAUUUUCCAUUUUGGAACAAAAGAAAAACAUAAUAAGAUAGAUAUCCAAGUCAAAAACAAUAGUGUGUUCGACAUAUAUAGUUUGUACAACUAUACAAGCAAAAACAACGCCAGCUAUGUAUCCAUCUCGAAUCCAAAACAACAUGCAACUGAGCUGAGUAUAUGUAGCGUAGCAAAAGAGGGCACAGUUUUGCAUUUCAUCUUCAAGCCCAACACUCACAUCUCUUGCUUCAUAAUCUACCCAUCACAGUGUAUGAAAACUGCCCUGGUUAUCACUCAUCAGAACGACCGUCCAAGGCACAAAACAUCCAACAUUGGCGAUGAAUUGGACAGGAUGUAAGAGAGGUAAGGGCAUCCUCCAACGUCAAGAUCGAUUUUCAGGCAUUAUUUAGUCCCACCUCGCCAUGGCUGUCUUGAGGUCUCAAGACAUGAUUAUUUCAGCCACAAUCAUAAUCGUCAGCAUCGCCCCCCUUUUUUAUCGAAAAGAGGUUGAACCCCCAAGCAACAUGACCAUGAUAUCCAUAUAUACAUACUCCCUCCGUUCCAAAAUAUGCUCCCUCCGUUCCAGAUAAGUAUCGUGGUUUUAGUUCACAACACAUGACCUGCAUCCAUCCAUCCAUCCAUCUUGCUCAGGAGCUGCUCAUGCCUGGCCUCGACCGACCAAAACUCCAGCACCGACGAAGCAUCAGACAACACCGUACGGUUCCCAGCUCAAUCGCACAGCCGAAUCCAAGGCAAUGGGACGGCGGUGGCUGGCAGCACCGUAGCGGUGGGAACUGACGCAGUGGUCACCAGGACGAUGGGUCAGCGAUCCGGCAACGAUAGCUCGCCUGAUUUGGUUUAGGGUUUGGGUCUAGUGGUGUGAACUGCACGCACGCAUGCACCGAGAGAGAGAAUGAGGCUCUGUUUGAUAGCUCAGUUUUUUCUAAGUAUUAUAAGCAUACUACAGUUUUUUAGAAUACCAUGAUUUUAAUUACUGUGAGCUGUUUGGCAGCCCAAAAACUGUAGUAUGGCCAAAACUGUGGUAUUUUAUUUGUGUAAAAAGAAGAAUCCCAGAUCUGCGGUAUGCACAUUAAGCAAUAUAAAAAUCAUAUCGCUAAAAAAAAAAAAAGAACCCCAGACCUCUUUCUUUAAACAGAGCAAGCGAAAAGAGGCAUCGCACGCACACUUUAUUUUCUUCGCUGCUCCACCCACCGCUCCGCUCCGGCCACCGGCCCUGCUCCACACGCCUCGACUGCGUGCCAGAAGGUGGGCAAGCAGUCCCGUCGGCCAUUUCGUAGCUCCGCCUGCUGAGACACCUACACCAUGUUGUGAACCAUGCUCAUUGAUAAUCUACAAGUCUUGUGCAAGGCUGUUCUUCAUGCAUGUGGCUACCUGCUUCUACAGUUUGCGUGCAACGGCUUGACACUAUCAAACAGGUAGCCUGUAUUGCUGAUACUUCAAAAUUCUUUAAUAUGUAAAAACUGUGGUAAAUUAUGCCAACAGUCAAAAAUACUGUAGUUUUUCAAUACUUCGGUUUUUAGAAUACUUGUGCGAGAGAGAGAAAUGGGGAUCGUACCGGAUCCAGAGAAAAACGCAGCAAGGUUGCAAGAAAUCCAUCGACAGCGGCUCAGAUCCCGCUCGGCCCCCAGCUCGGACGGCCAUGGACGCCCACCCGCACUGGCGGCAGCCCCGAGGGGCCUCCAAGCCGAUGCGCGAUCCGACGAGGCAGGAGGGGGCCGGCGCCGGCGGCCCACUCCAUCCUAGGGAGGGACACGGCCCCAACCGAGGCGCGCGAUCAUCAGCCACGGCGAGCGGGGCGGGCGCGGCGACGGGAUGGCAAGCAUCAAUGGUGGAAGUUAAGGAGGACUACAAUGGCAAAUAUCAACUGAAAAAUUGAUAAUGGAUACGAAAAUUGGACCAAAAAACUGAAAAAUGGCAUCAAUAAGAAUCUGCUUUUAAAUUUGUUCAAUAAAAAGAUUUCACACCAUCUCACCUUUCCAGAAGGUGCACACAAAGAACCAAAGUCAUAGUUUUUUUUUUUUUUGAGACAAACCAAAGCCAUAGGUAAUGACAGGUUUCUUUUUCAAGCUACAGGCCGACAAUGCACAGAAUAUAUAUAACUUAAUUUUCACAAUGAGCCCAUGACCAUUCACAGUUGCCAAACGGGCAUUCUUCAAAUCAAGAAGAAACAAAGAAAAGUUAGUAGGGAAAUCAAGCUGUUUUCUGGAGGAUAUUCCAGAAGUUCUCACUGAUCAAAUUACUAUAAUCAAACAGUAGUAGAAGUAUCAAACACAGGUGUCAUAACAAACACAUGCACGAGGAAUAGUUCGUGAAAUCCAGGAAAAUUGUAGAGUAUUACUUGAAUGGCUCAGAUUUAACCCACCAUAAAUCACCAAAGUUGGACAACGCUUCAGGUAGUACUUGAAGCCUUAUGGUACCAAACAACAACAACAACAACAACAACAACAAAGCCUUUCAGUCCCAAACAAGUUGGGAUAGGCACGUGGAUAGCUAAUUUCCAUGCACCCCUGUUCAUUGCUAGUUCUUUGGUGAUAUUCCAAUCCUUCAGGUCUCCUUACCANNN
rnacentral:lncRNA from 1 species